rnacentral:rRNA from 1 species
UGCCAGCAGCCGCGGUAAUACAGAGGGUGCAAACGUUGUUCGGAAUUACUGGGCAUAAAGCGCACGUAGGCGGCCGAGUAAGUGUGAAGUGAAAGCCCACGGCUUACCCGUGGAACUGCUUUGCAUACUGCUUGGCUAGAGGAUGGUAGGGGAGAGCGGAACUCUUGGUGGAGCGGUGAAAUGCGUAGAUAUCAAGAGGAACACCGGUGGCGAAGGCGGCUCUCUGGUCCAUAUCUGACGCUGAGGUGCGAAAGCUAGGGUAGCGAACGGGAUUAGAUA